UGGCGGACGGGUGAGUAACGCGUGGGCAACCUGCCCCAUACAGGGGGAUAACAGUUAGAAAUGACUGCUAACACCGCAUAAGCGCACAGGGCCGCAUGGCCCGGUGUGAAAAACUCCGGUGGUAUACGAUGGAUCCGCGUCUGAUUAGCCAGUUGGCGGGGUAACGGCCCACCAAAGCGACGAUCAGUAGCCGGCCUGAGAGGGUGAACGGCCACAUUGGGACUGAGACACGGCCCAAACUCCUACGGAAGGCAGCAG
rnacentral:rRNA from 1 species